rnacentral:rRNA from 1 species
GACGUAGGGCGCGAGCGUUGUCCGGAUUUAUUGGGCGUAAAGAGCGUGUAGGCGGCCAGACAAGUCUGCUGUGAAAACUCGAGGCUCAACCUCGAGCUGUCGGUGGAAACUGUCUGGCUAGAGUCCGGAAGAGGAGAGUGGAAUUCCUGGUGUAGCGGUGAAAUGCGCAGAUAUCAGGAAGAACACCUAUGGCGAAGGCAGCUCUCUGGGACGGUACUGACGCUGAGACGCGAAAGCGUGGGGAGCGAACAGG